rnacentral:rRNA from 1 species
CUUGUGCUAAUACCGGAUAAGUCUUUACGGAGAAAGCUUUAUGCACCAUUGGAUGAGCCUGCACUUGAUUAGUUUGUUGGUGGGGUAAUGGCCUACCAAGACUGUGAUCAAUAGCUGAUUUGAGAGGAUGAUCAGCCACAUUGGGACUGAGACACGGCCCAAACUCCUACGGGAGGCAGCAGUGGGGAAUCUUGCACAAUGGAGGAAACUCUGAUGCAGCGAUGCCGCGUGAGUGAAGAAGGCCCUUAGGUUGUAAAGCUCUUUCGUCGGGGAAGAAAAUGACUGUACCCGAAUAAGAAGGUCCGGCUAACUUCGUGCCAGCAGCCGCGGUAAUACGAAGGGACCUAGCGUAGUUCGGAAUUACUGGGCUUAAAGAGUUCGUAGGUGGUUGAAAAAGUUGGUGGUGAAAUCCCAGAGCUUAACUCUGGAACUGCCGUCAAAACUUUUCAGCUAGAGUAUGAUAGAGGAAAGCA